GUCAAUGGGCGCAAGCCUGACCGAGCAACGCCGCGUGCGGGAUGACGGCCUUCGGGUUGUAAACCGCUUUUGUGGGGGAUGAUACGGACCGUACCCCAAGAAUAAGCCCCGGCUAACUCUGUGNCAAGCAGCCGCGGUAAUACAGAGGGGGCAAGCGUUGUCCGGAUUGACUGGGCGUAAAGCGUACGUAUGCGGUGCGACAGUGGCGUGUGACACCUCCCGGCUUAACCGGGAGCGGGCACUCCAAACCGUCGCGCUUGAACCGUGCAGAGGGUGGUGGAAUUUCCNGUGUAGUGGUGAAAUUCGUAGAAAUCGGCGGGAACACCAAUGGCGAAAGCAGCCACCUGGGCCCGUGCUGACGCUGAGGUACGACCGCGUGGGGAGCGAACAGGAUUAGAUACCCUGGUAGUCCACGCCGUAAACGAUGUAUGCUCAUCCUGUGCUUCCUAACCACGCAGGUNCGGGGCGCAGCUCAAGCAGUAAGCAUCCCGCCUGGGAACUACGACG
rnacentral:rRNA from 1 species